CAAAUCACACAAGUACUUUGUCAGUGGUAGAAUUUGAACCCAAGUCCUCUACAUUCAAGUUCAGUGCCUUUUUCAUUGUAUCAAGUAGCCUCUGGAUGUCCUGAGAAAGACUUGUUCUGUAGGUCUACAGGAUCUGGAACUGGGAUCAGGGGCAGCUACCAGUAGGAAAAUUUCAAUGCAAUUAUCAAGUAGAAGUUUCUAAUAAUUACAGCUACAUAACAGUGGAGGCAGCUAGAUGAUCAAUGGAGUUCAAAUCUGGCCUAAGACACUAGCUGUGUGACCUUGAGAAAGUCACUUAACCUCUGUUUGCAUUAGGGGGAAGCUAGUGGAUAAAGCACUGAGCCUAGAGUUAGGAAAACCUGAAUUCAAAUCUCACCUCAAGUACUUACUAGCUAUGUGAUCCUAGGUUAGUCACUUAAACUUUGUUUGCCUUAAUCUACUAGAGAAGGAAAUGGCAAACCACUCCAGUAUCCUUGUCAAGACAUGGACAGCAUGGUCCAUGGGGUCACGAAUGGUCCAACAUAACUGAAUGACUAAACAAUAGUCAUUCCACAACAACAGUCAACAACAAACAAUGGAAUUGGGUUGCUUUGGCACAUAGUGAGUUCCCUAUGACUGGAAGUGUUGAAGCAGAGACUAAAUCAAUGCUUUCCAGAGGAGUCAUUCCUUAUGGAAGAGUUAAAAGUCUCUUCUAACACUGGAAUUUGAUGAUUCUAUGAAAAAGAACUUGAAAGAGAAAGAGCUCGCCCUAAGUUAUUUAGCUAUAAUUCUCACCCAAGGCUCCUGUAUCCCAAGCCAGGGCCAUUUACACUGACAAUCCAUGACCCAAGUGAAGACAAAGAGGAAGACCAGCUGAUACCUACCUAUCCAUGACUCCAUCAUGUACCAUCAUUGCAGCAAGUCAGGAAAUCCAUCUGGGCUGUUCCCAGAAAUUGACAGCUAUGGCAGCUCUAUAAUCUGGCAGCCUCUCCUGAAAAAAAAAAAGGCAAUACCCUCUUGAAAGGCUCAGAGGAAUAGUGACUUAUCUAAGGUCACACUUGGGUAAGUGGCAGAGCUCAGUCCCCAGAAACCAAGCCUAAAUAGCUUUUCCCUAUUGUGUGGUCUUAGCUUCACCCAGGACAGCCCUUGACCAGAAGAGCUACUUUUUUUUUAAGUCAUAUCUCCAUAAUACAGAUCAAUCUGUGUCUGAAGAAAACAUCCCCCAAGGGAUCAACUCAUGUCCCUGUCACUGAGCUAGUGUUUUGCACACUGUCCAUUUUUCAAUGCUUUCUGAAUUGAACCCUUAUUUUGAUACUCUUUCCUUCGAAUGUGAAUUAAGGUGAGCAACUUCACCUUUAUAAACUGAGCUCAGUUUCUUCAGCUACAACAUGGGGGUGGAUAAGAUCCAUCCUGCCUCCCCAAAGGCUACUUUGAGGAAAGCCUUUCCAUAAACCUUAAAGUUGUCUUUUCAUUAUUAUUACUCAUUUAGCAAAUAGAAUCCAAAUCUCAGUCAGAAAAAUCCCCAGAGGUUGUCUUAUUCCACCUGGAUUCAAUCAAAAAUCUCCACUAUAUAACAUCCUCAAGAAGGCAUCAUCCAUCAUCUAUUUGAAUAUUAUCUAGUGCCGGGGCCUCACUACCUGCUGAGGGAAUAAGGAAGUCCACUCCGCAUUUAAACAUCUUGUAGGUUAGCCACCAUUCAC
ensembl:lncRNA